rnacentral:lncRNA from 1 species
GAGAUAAAAUAUAAAAUAAUAGACAAGAAGGUAAAACCUAUUGCUAGCCCUUUACUAGAAGCUUCUAUAGAAAAAAUGAAGAUUUUGGAUCCUUCUUUUGCUCCAUAUUUUAGUCAUUGAUUUAUAGUGCCUAAGAAAAAUGGAUCAUUAUGCUUCUUUUAAGAUAUAUAGUCAGUAAAUGCAUUAAUUAUUAGAAAUGUAGAUAUAGGAUCUUUAGUAAAUGAGUUUAUAGAAGCAUUUGCAAGAAG